UCUGAUAGUACAGGAAGCCAUCGACUUGAGUUUUAAUGGAUGAAAAAAUUGACAGCAAUUUUUAUUUUGGGUGAAAUGUCCCUAUAAAAAAGGGAUAGAUAACCCAAGAAUUAAAAUUAUAAGCGAUUUACUCACCCUUGACUUGUUUCAAACCCCAUUUGAGUUUUCUUUAUCAGUUGGGGCACAAAAGCAGAUACUUUGAAGAAUGUUGGAAAACUGUAACCAUUGACUUAUGGUUGUUUUUCCUGCAGUGGAUGUCAACAUAGCUGGUUCAAGAGAAAACAAGAAACUUGUUUUUGUUAAGAGUGAGUAAAUAAUAGCAGAACCAUCACUUUAAUGUAAUAUAAACAAAGCAGCAUCAAUAAUAAAUAUCCCCCUGCGUUCCACAUCCUAUAUGAGGUCAAAUGGGUUUACAACAAGAUGAUGAUGACAGAGUUUUCAUUUAUGGAUGACCUAUUGCUUUAAAUGUCUUUUUGAGUGCUUUAAACCUACAGCCUUUCAGAUAGCAGUCUAAAAAGUUGACCGCCAUUCUCCAGGCCUCGCCGCACAGAAAUAGGUUUUAUGAUAGCUAUCCAAUGUAAUCACUGAAUCAGGUGUACCUGCUUUUAUGAGCACUUCGCUUUACUGAUAAGAUAACACCACACAUUAAGCUGUCUCCAUGUAAACAAGCCAAAACAGUAGAGGGAAUACAAACGAGUCUCAUCAAAAGUUUGCAACCAGACGUUGUUAUAUUGUUACAAAGCUAUCAACUCAUAAAACACGAACAUCACCUUGCAGUUUAGUUCUGUGUAAGGUGAAUAGUGUUAGGUGUUGGUUUAAUUGACGUGAAGGGGCCCUAAACUGCCGUCUACCUUUUGAGUCCGCCCAUGCAAGAUCACCAUUCGUGACCGGGAUUGGAGCCAGAUUGCUCCAUGUUCUCGUUUGCUGCUUUGAGGGAGUGGUAUAAACGAAAAGCAAACACAAACUAAUCCGAACUCACUUUUCCUCCGGUCUGUUUGCCCGACUGUUUCUCUUGAGCUAUCAUUACCAUUACGCAGAAUAAUUACAUCAGCUUGCAGCCACUUCCAGGCAUCGAUCUGUAACUCGAAUCAAUCCUCCGGGGACCCAAAGGGAUGAAAUGGUGAUCUAUGGUUGUGUGUGAGGGGAAAAACCUGACUUUCAGGCACCGUCGGAGUUCCAGUCUGUGCAAUAGUAGGACGGUUCCUGGUAUAGCUGCAUCUCUUCCUUCUAAGUGCUCUAAUGAGAUAGUGGGCAAGAAAAAAAGCUGUCCACGGGAUGCAGCGUGUGAGAAACGGGAAUAUGAAGAUGUGCGGCGUAUGUGUAACGAGUUUCUAAUUAAAGACACAGCGAUGUGAGGCCACGAGGGACGACUGCUUCCGUCUGAGAGCCUCAAUAAAUUGGCGAGAAUCGACGGCGAGUGUUUGGAGACGUUCAGAAGGCGAGCGGCGCGCGCGCUCAGAGUCCUCCAGGAGCUUUGUGUGGAGUUUUGGAAACACCAGAAAGGAGUCUGACCACUCCAACUUCCCACGCUUGAAUAUAAUAAAGGACGGCUCGCUUUAAAGGACAGCGCGCUUCUCUCUCUCUCUCUCUCUCUCUCUUUCCAGCUCGUUUUGCGUGGGGUUUAAAUAAGCACAGGACACUCGAGACUCAAUAAAACAAACAGCACGCGCCAAAUUCGCCUCAGGCUGCUGUGGAGAUUGAAGGACACGACCGUCCUCAGACUGCGUGAUCCUGGACUUGGGCUGUGCGCGCACUCUGGUUUCGGGAGAGAUGCGCGCGCUGCGAGCCCCGGUGCUGGUAAUGGGGCUCGUAUUGUUAAUCUGCACUGCCGCACAAAGCGAUGCCAGCGCGAACAAAGUGGAGAAAACGCUCAGACGGAUCAUGGAAAUCAUGAGACAGGUGGAAAAUAGCGCUGACGACGAGAGCGCGCAGAAGACAGAGAGCGCGCCUGAGCCGAAGGACACGCACCAUCUCAAAACGGCAAGUGGAGAAACAAUUUUAGAAAUCUUUCCCAGAGACCUCAGUAGGAAAGAGAAAUUUAUCACAAUAUUAACAGGUCCUCUUUAUUUUGGUCCAAAGUGCAAGAAGGAUGUCUACAGGCUUUACCACAACACUAGAGACUGCACCAUCCCUGCACGUGCCGCUGAUUUACCCCUGCACACAGAAACAGUAUAGGCUACAAAUUCAGGACUCAUCCAGAUGAUUAUCCAACUCAUCCAGCUUUACUCCUGUCCUCAGACUACAAACGGUGCGCACGGCUCCUGACACGACUGGCGGGGACUCGGAAAUGUCAAGAGGGUUAACUUCUAAUUACCAGCAGGUUGAAGCCAAACCAGAGUGACCCAGAGAAAACAACAAAAACAGCAGUCAGAAGUGCCUUUGGACAAGAGAAGAGAAUUUACACCAACACGCAACAUUCCACAUAAUCAGCACAUCACGUCCAGAGCACUGCUCGGCCUCUCUGGAGAAUAGAUGAGGGAAAGAAUUGAUAGAGCAGUAAAUGGACAGAAAAAUGGGAUGCUCUUGCCCAAGGACGGUAUGAUGGACUCAGCAUGGAGCCGAUGUUCAAAUACAAGAUGUCAGAGAACGAAAACAGAGAAACGCAUCUGGCGUUUUGGGUUCUGAACCCGUCUGCCAAAAAACGAAAACCAUUUUCCAUUGUUUCAUUGCGAAAAAGGGAUUGCCGUGUUUUUUACGCUGUGUUCUCAUCAGACGUUGAUACUGAUGUUCCGUGCGACGAGCCUCAACGGGGUUGCAAAUACAAGGACCUGUCAGUGCAAUGAGAGAGAGCUUUCAUUUUCUCCGUGCUAGUAAACUGCAUGAACUUCUGCUUUCGCUUCAGUUUGCCAGCAGACAGGUCGAGUUCUGCAGUAAAUCUGUGACCAGAAGCUUCUCGAUGUUUGUUUGUUUGUGAGACUACGACUGUGGAAAUACAUUCAGUAUAUUUUGAUAUGUGAAUAUUGUACAUACGAGACUUACAAAUCCCUAUAACAAACCACAUAAGCAUCUGGCGUACGAAUGCUUCGUUGGGAUAUGUAUAUUUAAAAGAAAAUAUAUUUAAAUAAAUUAUGAUUGUUUAAACGCUGUGGUGUUUGAUAUCGCAAAAAAAUACUGUCUCGAUCUGGAUUAACGGCUUAUCUUGGCAUCAGAAAACCUGUUUCUGAGGGAGUCUGGGAGUUCUUAUCGGUCACGCUGGAUGCUUUGGAUGCUUCUGAGAUAUUGAAUUUUUUUUCCCCCGGUCUGUAACCACACCAAAGAUAACGGUCAUCUUCUGUUGCUAAAUAGUUUAGCGAUGGGGAAAACUGUCCAGGGAGUUCCUCAAAAGAUGAAGAGGAUGGAUGAGAGAAGAAAACAACUGGAGGAGAAAGCGAACAAAAGAGUAAAUAAAUUGAGUCUUGGGGUAAAGCGCGAUGAAUCAAAACAACAAGCAAACUUUAAGGUUGGCUGAAAAGAGAGAGUCUAAAAGUACUUUUGUUUUGAUGUUUCUGCACAGAAUUGAGUAAAUAACCUGUGGAUUUACGCCGAAUGAUUUUGAGAGUGAAGGAGCUGAAAAGCUAACGCGUAACAAACAAAUAACAAACCAUUCAUUUUCCUUCAGC